CACACAGACAGUAAAUUUGUCGUUAUCUUGACGAUAAUUUAAAUUCCCAUGAUUCUCCUGGUUUUUCAGAGAGGCCGUUGUUGCCGUCGAUCGUCACUCAGAGAAAGAGACUGAAGAGUUUCUGCCACAGAGACGCUCGCGCCUGUACGGCAUCACCACGACAACCACACAGUGUCCACAAGUUUAUAAUUACUGCAUCAACAACGGAGGCUGCUCUCACCUUUGUCUUCCGCGACUUGGCGGCUUCGCCUGCCGCUGCCCGGACGCCGCUGACGGCCGAUGUGAGGAGAGGAAGUCGUGAGUUCAGCUGAAAGACGGGAAGCAAAAACAACUCAACUGAAUCUGGGUGUUUUUGAAGUUUCUAACUUGAAAUGAACAUUUUCUUUCAUCCUUUUGCUUUUUGGCCCCAAAACCUGUUCAGGCCUCACUGACACUAUGAUGUCACUAUGAUGUCACACUCUUCACUGUGAUGUCACAAAGAGAACUUGUCCGUUGAUGAGGUCUGUCCUUAUUUCCUGUAAAACGUGUAAUGCUAUGAAACACUUCAACCACGAUUUCUCAUAAAACAUCCCGUCACACGUCAGGUAAGAUCGUUCUCGUCCUGUUCAAGUUGAAUUCAGAUUUAGUUCCUGAUGUUUUCGUUAUUUUGAAUCUGAAAAAACAUUUUGACCAGAUGAUGAUUUUAUGAAAACGAAAGAAAAACUUUUAUAGUAUUUUGUUAUAAAACUCGAAAGUAAAAUUCAAGUUGUGUGAAGUUUGUGAUGAUUAAAAACGUGUUCAAACGGAA